GAUGAACGCUGGCGGCGUGCCUAAUACAUGCAAGUCGAGCGAACGGACGAGAAGCUUGCUUCUCUGAUGUUAGCGGCGGACGGGUGAGUAACACGUGGAUAACCUACCUAUAAGACUGGGAUAACUUCGGGAAACCGGAUCUAAUACCGGAUGAUAUUUUGAACCGCAUGGUUCAAAAGUGAAAGACGGUCUUGCUGUCACUUAUAGAUGGAUCCGCGCUGCAUUAGCUAGUUGGUAAGGUAACGGCUUACCAAGGCAACGAUGCAUAGCCAACCUGAGAGGGUGAUCGGCCACACUGGAACUGAGACACGGUCCAGACUCCUACGGGAGGCAGCAGUAGGGAAUCUUCCGCAAUGGGCGAAAGCCUGACGGAGCAACGCCGCGUGAGUGAUGAAGGUCUUCGGAUCGUAAAACUCUGUUAUUAGGGAAGAACAUAUGUGUAAGUAACUGUGCACAUCUUGACGGUACCUAAUCAGAAAGCCACGGCUAACUACGUG
rnacentral:rRNA from 1 species